rnacentral:rRNA from 1 species
GACGAACGCUGGCGGCGUGCUUAACACAUGCAAGUCGAACGGAAAGGCCCUGCUUUUGUGGGGUGCUCGAUUGGCGAACGGGUGAGUAACACGUGAGUAACCUGCCCUUGACUUUGGGAUAACUUUAGGAAACUGGGGCUAAUACCGGAUAGGAGCUCCUGCUGCAUGGUGGGGGUUGGAAAGUUUCGGCGGUUGGGGAUGGACUCGCGGCUUAUCAGCUUGUUUGUGUGGUAGUGGCUUACCAAGGCUUUGACGGGUAGCCGGCCUGAGAGGGUGACCGGCCACAUUGGGACUGAGAUACGGCCCAGACUCCUACGGGAGGCAGCAGUGGGGAAUAUUGCGCAAUGGGCGGAAGCCUGAUGCAACAACGCCGCGUGCGGGAUGACGGCCUUCGGGUUGUAAACCGCUUUCGCCUGUGACGAAGCGUGAGUGACGGUAAUGGGUAAAGAAGCACCGGCUAACUACGUG